CCUACGGGGGGCAGCAGUGGGGAAUAUUGGACAAUGGGGGGAACUCUGAUCCAGCGACGCCGCGUGAGUGAAGAAGUAUUUCGGUAUGUAAAGCUCUAUCAGCAGGGAAGAAAGCAAUGACGGUACCUUACUAAGAAGCCCCGGCUAACUACGUGCCAGCAGCCGCGGUAAUACGUAGGGGGCAAGCGUUAUCCGGAUUUACUGGGUGUAAAGGGAGCGUAGGCGGCGAGGCAAGUAUGAAGUGAAAGGCGGGGGCCCAACCCCCGGACUGCUUUUGAAACUGUAGGGCUGGAGUGCAGGAGAGGGAAGUGGAAUUCCUAGUGUAGCGGUGAAAUGCGUAGAUAUUAGGAGGAACACCAGUGGCGAAGGCGGCUUACUGGACUGUAACUGACAUUGAGGCACGAAAGCGUGGGGAGCAAACAGGAUUAGAUACCCCUGUAGUC
rnacentral:rRNA from 1 species